GAAAAGGGAGAGAACAAGGAAAAAGAAAACCAAGUCAAUUUUAAGGCAAUACACAAGGUACUGUCCAUUGGCAAGAAAAGCUCCAAGGAUAAAGGAAAGGAAGAAAGAGUCAAGCUUGAAAGAGGAAACUUAAGAAUUAGAGCCAUGAUUGGAGACUAAGGAACUACACAACACAAGACUCAAAGUAUUGAUUCUAGAACUGUUCACUAUGGCUAAGUAAAUUAUGUGCCACGGUGUAAUUGGAAGAUAAGCAUCACUAUAGUCUUAAGAUGUCUUCACCGCGGCCAUAUUUUGUCUUCACUGUGGCAACCUCAUCGAUUUUGAUGAAGCUCCUCUUAGGAAAGCUUCAUUACGGCAAACAUUUCCCUUAGCCGCAAUGAAGUCCUCAUAUUAGCAA